UAUAGUGACUUAAGUAAGUGAAUUAAUAUAGAUUUCGAACAUGUAUUUCAUUGACCACAGGCAGUAGUCCAUGUUACAAUGACACUGGAAAUGUUGUCACAAUGCGUGUCACAUGUGACCUUAACCUUGUCACACAGCACGUCCACUAGUAUACCCGCACUUCAGCCCAAUGGACGUAAAGCCACCAAACAGACUGCCACGUCAACCAUGUCACGCCAAGACGUCCAACUGGAGAGUAGUUCUAAUGUCACGUCAGCCAUGUCACGUCAUGACAUCACACUGGAGAGUAGUUCUAAUGUCACGUCAACCAUGUCACGCCAAGACGUCCAAAUGGAGAGUAGUUCUAAUGUCAC